UACGUAGGUGGCAAGCGUUGUCCGGAUUUACUGGGCGUAAAGAGCGCGCAGGCGGUCGGAUUAGUCGCGUGUGAAAGCCCCCGGCUCAACUGGGGAGGGUCACGCGAUACUGUUCGACUCGAAGGCAGGAGAGGGAAGUGGAAUUCCCGGUGUAGUGGUGAAAUGCGUAGAUAUCGGGAGGAACACCAGUGGCGAAGGCGGCAUCCUGGACCGGCAUUGACGCUGAGGCGCGAAAGCCAGGGGAGCAAACGGG
rnacentral:rRNA from 1 species